rnacentral:rRNA from 1 species
AGGACGAACGCUGGCGGCGUGCUUAACACAUACAAGUCGAGCGGUAAGGCUCCUUCGGGAGUACACGAGCGGCGAACGGGUGAGUAACACGUGAGCAAUCUGCCCUUCACAUUGGAAUAACUUCGGGAAACCGAAGCUAAUACCGAAUACGACCACCGAUGGCAUCAUCUGGUGGUGGAAAGUUCCGGCGGUGAAGGAUGAGCUCGCGGCCUAUCAGCUUGUUGGUGGGGUCAUGGCCCACCAAGGCGACGACGGGUAGCCGGCCUGAGAGGGUGACCGGCCACACUGGGACUGAGACACGGCCCAGACUCCUACGGGAGGCAGCAGUGGGGAAUAUUGGACAAUGGGGGCAACCCUGAUCCAGCCAUGCCGCGUGAGCGAUGAAGGCCUUAGGGUUGUAAAGCUCUUUCAGCGGGGAAGAUAAUGACGGUACCGCAGAAGAAGCCCCGGCUAACUACGUGCCAGCAGCCGC